UACAGAGGGGGCAAGCGUUGUUCGGAAUUACUGGGCGUAAAGGGCCAGUAGGCGGCCAACUAAGUCCGACGUGAAAUCCCAAGGCUUAACCUUGGAACUGCGUCGGAUACUGGAUGGCUUGAAUUCGGGAGAGGGAUGCAGAAUUCCAGGUGUAGCGGUGAAAUGCGUAGAGAUCGUAAGGAAGACCAGUGGCGAAGGCGGGUCUCUGGACAGUUCCUGACACUGAGGCACGAAGGCCAGGGGAGCAAACGGG
rnacentral:rRNA from 1 species